CCUCGUUGAUCCUGCCAGUAGCAGUCUCAAAGAUUAAGCCUUGUAAGUAAGUAAGUACAAACAACUGGUACAGUGAAACUGCAAAUGGCUCAUUAAAUCAGUUAUGGUUCCAUUGAUCGGUCCAUCUGUUACUUGGAAAACUGUGGUAAUUCUAGAGCUAAUACAUGCCGACGAGCACGGACCUCCCGGGAUGCAUGCAUUUAUCAGACCCCAAGACCAAUCCGGGUUCGCCCGGCCGCUUUGGUGACUCUAGAUAACCUCAGGCCGAUCGCACAUCCAUGUGACCGCGACAAUGCAUUCAGAUGUCCCUAUCAACUUUUGAUGGUACUUUCUGUGCCUACCACGGUGACCACAGGUAAUGGGGAAUCGGGGUUUGAUUCUGAAGAGGGAGCCUGAGAAACAGCUACCACACCAAGGAAUGCAGCAGGUGCCCAAAUGACCCAAUCCUGACUCCGGGAGGUAGUGAUGGAAAAUAACAAUACAGGACUCUUUCGAGGCACUGUAAUUUGAAUGAAUACACUUUAAAUCCUUUAACGAGUACCCAUUGGAGGGCAAGUCUGGUGCCAGCAGCCGUAGUAAUUCCAGCUCCAAUAGCAUAUAUUAAAGUUGCUGCAGUUAAAAAGCUUGUAGUUGGAUUUUGGGAUUGAGCUGGCGGUCCGCCGCGAGGCAAGCUACCACUGCCUGUCCCAGCCCUGCCACUUGGCACCCCUUGAUGCUCUUGACUGAGUGUCCUGGGGGUCUGAAGCGUUUACUUUGAAAAAAGUACAGUGUUCAAAGCAGGCGGUCACAUGAAUACUUAAGCUAGGAAUAAUGGAAUAGGACACUGGUUCUAUUUUGUGUUUUUCGGAACUGGGGCCAUGAUUAAGAGGGACGGCGGGGGGAAUUCGUAUUGUGCCGGUAGAGGCGAUAUUCUUGGACCAGACAAGACGAACCUAGGUGAAAGCAUUAGCCAAUAAUGUUUUCAUGAAUCUACUGUCGUAGUUCCAAAAAUAAACUAUGCCGAUUAGCGGUCUGGCAGUGUUAUUCCCAUGACCCGCCGAGCAGCUUCCGGGAAACCAAAGUCUUUGGGUUCUGUGGGGGGAGGGUGUAUGGUUGCAAAGCUGGAACUUAAAGGAAUUGAUGGAAGGGCACCACCAGGAGUGGCAGCUGCAUCUUGAAACCUCGCCCAGACAUGGAAAAGAUUGACAGAUUGAUAGCUCUUUCUCAAUUCUGUGGGUGGUGGUGGUGCAUGGCCGUUCUUAGUUGGUGGAGCGAUUUGUCUGGUUAAAAAUGAUAACGAACGAGACUCCUCCAUGAUAACUAAUUAUUUGCCAUGAACAAGGAAUUCCCAUUAAGUGCGGGUCAUAAGCUUGCGUUGAUUAAGUCCCUGCCCUUUGUACACACCUCCUGUCGCUACUACAGAUUGGAUGGUUUAAUGAGGUCCUCAGAUCGGCGAGAGACGAUCAAACUUGACUACCUAGAGGAAGUUGUACGGGUUGGGUUAAACUGCUUGGGACGUUC
rnacentral:rRNA from 1 species